AUGAUUGUUGAAAAAAAAAGUUGUAGGUCUUGGAACUGUCAAAAGGUCAAGCGAAAAGAAACAAUUUCUAAAGUAAUUAAUUAUAACUAAAACUUCCCAAAAAAUGUGUGCUAGCUCAACAUACGCAUAUUUAUCGUGACGAUGUAUAGUUACAAUGUUAAAUUUCUGACAUGCGACGAAUCCAUCACUCUGAAAAACGGGGACUUUAAAAGUUACAAGUAUGAAACGAAGAAGAAAUCUGAGGAAUCAGUAUAUGAUAGUGGUAAGAGGAGUUUUUGUGAGCGUCGAGGCGGACAUUGGACAGCGGUGAAUCCUCGUCAGAUCAGGAAACUUGAGGCUAAUUUCCGAGAACGCACGGCCGUUUACUGCGAAUGGUUGAAUGAGAACUUGAUCGUAAUAGUGUUUUCGUCUGGUGCCAUCGCCUACCUCACUGUGAAGCCUAGCACAUUGGAUGUGACACAGAUUUUAUUUGAUAGAUAUGUUGUUGGGAAGAUAUCUGGACAGUCUGUUACUGGAGUUGCAUUCUGCAAGUCGCACUUACUCUUCACACACACAGAACGAACAGCAACAUUGGUUACUUUUGGUAAAAGUGUACCAAAUCAACCAUGCCGUAUCAAGGACAGAGAUCCACACAUACAAACAGUGGAACUGGGAGGCUCCCGCCGAACAGAGAGGCGGGUGUCCUGGUGCGAGGGCCCGGGCGCGGGCGCCGGCGUGCGGGCGCUGGUGUGGGGCGCCGCCGCCGCGGAGCCGGCGCCCUGGAGCCCCGCGCUCGAGGACCAGGCCAACUUGCAUCUGUAUCUGCUACGAGGGCAGCAAAUGAUUCUACUAGCUUACCAUCAGUUGGAGAAUGAAACGUUGUGCGCCGAGAUCUCUUCGACGAAUAACAAUAUCAUACACAUCAUUGAACAGACUGCGUGCCAUAAGAGCGGUGUAACCAUAGAAUGGUCGCGCUACACCGCCCCAACAUCGGAGGCGCGGCCGAGCCGCCUGCGCUCUUGGGGCGCCGCGCGCGCCGCCUGCACGCUGCCGGCGCCCGCGCGCUGCGUGCGCCGCGCCGCCGCGCGCGCGCUGCUCGCCUGCAUCGACGGCUCGCUGCACGUGCUGCACCAGCACGCCGGCCUCACGCACGAGGCCAAGCUCGGCUCGGUAGCAACGGACGUCCGUUGGGCGGGGUCGCUCAUACUAGCGGCGUCCGACGGCCUGCAGUGCUUCGACGGCGCGCUAACACCUCUACCACACCCUCCGCACCUCUCUAAUAUACUGCGAGAGCCGCGUCGAAUGCAUUUGCUGGCCACGCGGAGCGAACGCGGCGGUCCAUUAGUACUGGCGUCGUUCAGCGGAGGACCACUGGCGUUAAUCCGGGUGUCACAUCCCGAACUUAUGACGACGUGGAUCCGUCUCGGGCGGCCCUCCAACGCCAUAUCCCUCCUCCGUUCCCUGGACUGGGAGCAGGCCGGGCCCGCCGCGCUGCGCGCCGCCGCCGCGCUGGUGGCGGGCGCGCUGCGCGCCGCGCUGGCGCCCGAGCGCGAGGCUGGCGCCCAGGCGGCGCUCGGCGCCUACCUGGCGCCCGGGGCGCCGCACGCGCCUAACGCGCACAAGUACGCGCCCGCGGUUCAUGAUCUGGCUAGGAAGUUCUUUCAUCAUUUGUUAAGACGAGGCCGCGUAGAGAAAGCCCUAAGCCUCUGCGUGGACCUGGCCGCGUGGGACCUGUGCAUGGACGCGCGCUGGGCCGCCGCGCGCGCCGCGCAGCCCGCGCUGGCCGCCGAGGCCGCCGCGCUCGCCGCCGCCGUCGACAACACUCCAGAAUCCGUCUGCUCCGACUCAUGCUCGCAGUGCUCCACCGACUCGUCUUCCUCCCCCCGUCCCCCCCUGCCCCUCCCCCUCCCGCUCCCCCGCCGGCCCCCUCCCCCUCCCCCGCCCGCCCUCCUCCCCGUCCCCACCGCCCCCGCCCACUCCACCACCACCAGCAUCAGACCCAAUCUACACCAGUAUUUGGAAAAGAAUAAUACUAUAUGGAACACAGAUGUCAAAGAUGACUGGUCUAACGACUUUAGAAGAGAGUCAAGUAAUGAUUAUAGGAGUAGUAUAGAAGUUAUACCGCGACCAGAGGCUCAGUUUAGACAUCUGUACCAAACUGAGCUGAGAGAAGAUGCUCCCAACACUAUGUACAGGUACAACGGGUACAGACCGGGGUCAUCAGAGCGUACAAUAAAAGUGGACGGCUACGAGCGACCCAAACCGGAGAAAAACAAGGUCAAGUUCUCGGACACCGUCACUAUCGCUGUUGUGGCUUCAGAGGGCAACGUCGGUUCGGUGGCACGGGAGCUGGCCGACAGCCUGCCGCUGUGCGCGCCGCACAACUACCUCGCGGCGUUCGCGCCGCACGCGCCCGCGCCGCACGUACCGCACGUGCCGCACGCGCCGCACGCCCCGCCGCCCGGUACCAACGACUACGUCGAAGUGUAGCACGCCACACGCCGCACGAUGCUUGACGCACCAUUGCAUGAACACCACAGUCACCACAGAAUACAGAAAAAAAAAACGCUGCUCAAAAACCGCCUAAAAUUAAAGUAGUCCAUUUUGGUAUGGUUUAAUUUUUCGACGCCAUUCCAAAUGUAUAAAUAAUACUUUAAGUUAAUGUUAUCUUAAUAUGUUGAUCGAUGUAAUAUGUUCCGUCCAAAUAGUUCGUAAUGAAGAAUUUUUAGGAGAAUUAAGUAAUUUGUAUUUAAGACAAUAUUGAUAAAACAAAGCACAAAACUCAUUUUUAUAUAGCCAGUUUAUUACAAAUACAUUUUUUAUUGUAACUAGUAUAUACAGUGAUGGGUUGUGAUUUUACAGUCUUAGUAAUAAACCUUGUUUAACAUU